AUUGAACGCUGGCGGCAUGCUUUACACAUGCAAGUCGGACGGUAACAGGGAGCUUGCUCCGCUGACGAGUGGCGAACGGGUGAGUAAUGCGUCGGAACGUGCCGAGUAGUGGGGGAUCACGCAGCGAAAGUUGUGCUAAUACCGCAUACGUACUGAGGUAGAAAGUGGGGGACCUUCGGGCCUCACGCUAUUCGAGCGGCCGACGUCUGACUAGCUAGUAGGUGAGGUAAAGGCUCACCUAGGCGACGAUCAGUAGCGGGUCUGAGAGGAUGAUCCGCCACACUGGGACUGAGACACGGCCCAGACUCCUACGGGAGGCAGCAGUGGGGAAUUUUGGACAAUGGGCGAAAGCCUGAUCCAGCCAUGCCGCGUGUCUGAAGAAGGCCUUCGGGUUGUAAAGGACUUUUGUCGGGGAGGAAAUCCCCAGCGCUAGUACCGCUGGGGGAUGACAGUACCUGAAGAAUAAGCACCGGCUAACUACGUGCCAGCCGCCGCGGUAACAC
rnacentral:rRNA from 1 species